rnacentral:rRNA from 1 species
UACAGAGGGUGCGAGCGUUGUCCGGAAUCACUGGGCGUAAAGGGCGCGUAGGCGGCCUGAUAAGUAGGGGGUGAAAUCCUGCGGCUUAACCGCAGGGCUGCCUUCUAAACUGUCGGGCUCGAGCACAGUAGAGGCAGGUGGAAUUCCCGGUGUAGCGGUGGAAUGCGUAGAGAUCGGGAAGAACACCGGUGGCGAAGGCGGCUCACUGGCUCGUAUCUGACGCUCAGGCGCGACAGCGUGGGGAUCAAACAGG